CCCCAAAGGUGGCGCAGUUGGUUGCACUGUUGCCUUGCAGAGAGAAGGUCCUGGGUUUAAAUCCCAGUCUGGGGU